ACAACAACAACACAGACUGCUUGCUUGG
rnacentral:piRNA from 1 species